rnacentral:rRNA from 1 species
GAUGAACGCUGGCGGCGUGCUUAAUACAUGCAAGUCGAGCGAAGCACUUUAACGGAAUUCUCCGGAAGGAAGGUAAAGUGACUGAGCGGCGGACGGGUGAGUAAUACAUAAGCAACCUGCCCCUGUGAGGGGGAUAACUGCUGGAAACGGCAGCUAAGACCGCAUAGGCAUACAUGACGCAUGUCGAGUAUGUUAAAUAUCCUACGGGAUAGCACAGGGAUGGGCUUAUGACGCAUUAGCCAGCUGGUGAGGUAGAGGCUCACCAGGGCGACGAUGCGUAGCCGGCCUGAGAGGGUGGACGGCCACACUGGGACUGAGACACGGCCCAG